GGAGCCGUAGCUCAGUGGUAGAACAUCUGCCUGGCAUGCAGAAGGUCCCAGCUUCAAUCUCUGGUGUCUCCA